rnacentral:rRNA from 1 species
UACGUAGGGUGCAAGCGUUGUCCGGAAUUAUUGGGCGUAAAGAGCUCGUAGGCGGUUUGUCGCGUCUGCUGUGAAAACUCGAGGCUCAACCUCGAGACGCCGGUGGAAACUGCAAAGCUAGAGUCCGGAAGAGGAGAGUGGAAUUCCUGGUGUAGCGGUGAAAUGCGCAGAUAUCAGGAAGAACACCCGUGGCGAAGGCGGCUCUCUGGGACGGUACUGACGCUGAGACGCGAAAGCGUGGGGAGCGAACAGG